rnacentral:rRNA from 1 species
GAUGAACGCUAGCGGGAGGCUUAACACAUGCAAGUCGUGGGGCAGCACGGUGUAGCAAUACACUGGUGGCGACCGGCGCACGGGUGAGUAACGCGUAUGCAACCUGCCCUGUACAGGGGGAUAGCCCGGAGAAAUUCGGAUUAAUACCCCAUAAAGAUAUCGAGAGGCAUCUUUUGAUAUUUAAAGCUUCGGCGGUACGGGAUGGGCAUGCGUGACAUUAGCUAGUUGGUAGGGUAACGGCCUACCAAGGCUUCGAUGUCUAGGGGUCCUGAGAGGGUGAUCCCCCACACUGGUACUGAGACACGGACCAGACUCCUACGGGAGGCAGCAGUGAGGAAUAUUGGUCAAUGGGCGACAGCCUGAACCAGCCAUCCCGCGUGAAGGAAGAAGGCGCUAUGCGUUGUAAACUUCUUUUCCAGAGGAAUAAAAUUUCGUACGUGUACGGAACUGAAGGUACCCUGGGAAUAAGCAUCGGCUAACUCCGUGCCAGCCGCCGCCGUAAGAC